UCCGGUUUGACACCGGCAGUCCCGCUAGAGUGCCCAGCGCCCGAAGGCCUGAUGGCAACUAACGGCAGGGGUUUCGCUCGUUAAGGGACUUAACCCGACACUUCACAGCACGAGCUGACGACAGCCAUGCAGCACCUGUGUAUGUUCCACGGUAAACCGCGUCACUCUGGUUUCUCAGAGCUAAUCCAUACAUGUCAAGCCCAGGAUAAGGUUCUUCGCGUUGCUUCGAAUUAAGCCACAUGCUCCACCGCUUGUGUGAGCCCCCGUCAAUUCCUUUGAGUUUUAGCCUUGCGACCGUACUCCCCAGGCGGUGCACUUAUUGUUUUUACUUCGGCCCCGUUGAUGUCAGCACCCUCGAGACCUAGUGCACAUUGUUUACGGCGUGGACUAC
rnacentral:misc_RNA from 1 species